UACGUAGGUGGCAAGCGUUAUCCGGAUUUAUUGGGUGUAAAGGGCGUGUAGGCGGGAGCGCAAGUCAGAUGUGAAAACUCAGGGCUCAACCCUGAGCCUGCAUUUGAAACUGUGUUUCUUGAGUGCUGGAGAGGCAAUCGGAAUUCCGUGUGUAGCGGUGAAAUCCGUAGAUAUCUGGAGGAACAUCAGUGGCGAAGGCGGCCACCUGGACCGGUAUUGACGCUGAGGCGCGAAAGCGUGGGGAGCAAACAGG
rnacentral:rRNA from 1 species